GAUGAACGCUGGCGGCGUGCUUAACACAUGCAAGUCGAACGAUGAAGCCCAGCUUGCUGGGUGGAUUAGUGGCGAACGGGUGAGUAACACGUGAGUAACCUGCCCUUAACUCUGGGAUAAGCCUGGGAAACUGGGUCUAAUACCGGAUAGGAGCGUCCACCGCAUGGUGGGUGUUGGAAAGAUUUAUCGGUUUUGGAUGGACUCGCGGCCUAUCAGCUUGUUGGUGAGGUAAUGGCUCACCAAGGCGGCGACGGGUAGCCGGCCUGAGAGGGUGACCGGCCACACUGGGACUGAGACACGGCCCAGACUCCUACGGGAGGCAGCAGUGGGGAAUAUUGCACAAUGGGCGCAAGCCUGAUGCAGCGACGCCGCGUGAGGGAUGACGGCCUUCGGGUUGUAAACCUCUUUCAGUAGGGAAGAAGCGAAAGUGACGGUACCUGCAGAAGAAGCACCGGCUAACUACGUG
rnacentral:rRNA from 1 species